rnacentral:rRNA from 1 species
GACGAACGCUGGCGGCGUGCCUAAUACAUGCAAGUAGAACGCUGAAGAGAGGAGCUUGCUCUUCUUGGAUGAGUUGCGCACGGGUGAGUAACGCGUAGGUAACCUGCCUUGUAGCGGGGGAUAACUAUUGGAAACGAUAGCUAAUACCGCAUAACAAUGGAUGACCCAUGUCAUUUAUUUGAAAGGGGCAAAUGCUCCACUACAAGAUGGACCUGCGUUGUAUUAGCUAGUAGGUGAGGUAACGGCUCACCUAGGCGACGAUACAUAGCCGACCCGAGAGGGUGAUCGGCCACACUGGGACUGAGACACGGCCCAGACUCCUACGGGAGGCAGCAGUAGGGAAUCUUCGGCAAUGGGGGCAACCCUGACCGAGCAACGCCGCGUGAGUGAAGAAGGGUUUCGGAUCGUAAAGCUCUGUUGUAAGUCAAGAACGAGUGUGAGAGUGGAAAGUUCACACUGUGACGGUAGCUUACCAGAAAGAGACGGCUAACUACGUG